rnacentral:rRNA from 1 species
GUGAGGAAUUUUCCGCAAUGGGCGAAAGCCUGACGGAGCAAUGCCGCGUGAAGGAUGAAGGCCUAUGGGUUGUAAACUUCUUUUCUCAGAAAAGAAUUAUGACGGUAUCUGAGGAAUAAGCAUCGGCUAACUCUGUGCCAGCAGCCGCGGUAAGACAGAGGAUGCAAGCGUUAUCCGGAAUGAUUGGGCGUAAAGCGUCUGUAGGUUGUUUAAAAAGUAUUCUGUCAAAGAUUAGGGCUUAACCCUAGAUAGGCAGAAUAAACUUUUAAGCUAGAGUUUGGUAGAGGCAGAGGGAAUUCCCGGUGGAGCGGUGAAAUGCGUAGAUAUCGGGAGGAACACCAAAGGCGAAGGCACUCUGCUGGGCCAAUACUAACACUGAGAGACGAAAGCGAGGGGAGUAAAUGGGAUUAGAUACCCUUGUAGUCC